UAUUUGAGCAAUAUUAUAAAAUUCAAAAGCUGUGUUUGUAAUUUUAACAAAUAGCACCAUGUGACACAUUAUAUUGCACCUGCCACCUCUUCAGAUUCCUAGCCAAAGUUUUGGGGGUAUCACAAAAAUUGAAAGGUGUGAGUCAAAGGCUACUUGGUUCUUUGUUUCCUAAUGUUGUCCAUGGUUCCAUUGAAUCUGUCUUUGGACUGGUAGGCCACAGAGUUGUUCUGGGAUCUAAAAUGGCACUCACUGUUUUCACUCAGGAGAAGAGGAGUUCCUUUAAAUCAUACACAUACUGUGGGUUUUAAAAACAUCAGAUGAUCCUCAACAAACAAGGAGGAACGAAGGGAAAUUAUUUUUCAACCAACUGUUACUUUACUUUGGACAUUUUGGGGGAAGAUUUACUAUGAAAUUUACUUUUGAAACAGUUAAGUGAUCUCAUCUUUGUCUGAAAAACUUAUCUGGUGCUGUAAUGAUCGGUGUGUGUGUGUGCAUGCCAAGUUGCUUCAGUCGUGUUUGACUCUCUGCGACCCUAUGGACUGUAGCCCGCCAGGCUCCUCUGUCCAUNNNNNNNNNNAGGCAAGAAUACUGGAGUGGGUUGUCAUUUCCUUCUCCAGGGGACCUUCCAAACCCAGGGACUGAACCCUUGUCUCUUAUGUCUCCUGAAUUGGUAGGCAGGUUCUUUACCUCUAACGCCACCCGGGAAGCCAUAAUGAUCAGUAAAGAGUAUUAAACAAGCUGAUUAAAACAGCUUUAUUGUAAAACCUAAUCACUAUAAUUAUCUCCAGGAUAACUAUUUUCACUACCACUAAUUUAAAAGAGCAUUUAUGGACCCAGUGUAAAAUGAUACUUAAACAUAGAAAAUUAAAUCUAUAAAGCNNNNNNNNNNNNNNNNNNNNNNNNNNNNNNNNNNNNNNNNNAAAUGUUUAAUAGCUUACUUUGGUUGCUCUCUUAUGUACUAUUAACCAUUAAAAUAGUCAUCAUUUAAAAGAAAUGAUAUGUUUAGAUUUAAAUAUGUUGACCU
rnacentral:lncRNA from 1 species